UUCCAGUAGUCAGGGAACUGCCCUAAUC
rnacentral:sRNA from 1 species